AACGAACGCUGGCGGUAUGCCUUACACAUGCAAGUCGAACGGUAACGCGGGGCAACCUGGCGACGAGUGGCGAACGGGUGAGUAAUAUAUCGGAACGUGCCCAGUAGUGGGGGAUAGCCCGGCGAAAGCCGGAUUAAUACCGCAUACGACCUACGGGUGAAAGCGGGGGAUCGCAAGACCUCGCGCUAUUGGAGCGGCCGAUAUCAGAUUAGGUAGUUGGUGGGGUAAAGGCCUACCAAGCCUGCGAUCUGUAGCUGGUCUGAGAGGACGACCAGCCACACUGGGACUGAGACACGGCCCAGACUCCUACGGGAGGCAGCAGUGGGGAAUUUUGGACAAUGGGCGAAAGCCUGAUCCAGCCAUGCCGCGUGCGGGAAGAAGGCCUUCGGGUUGUAAACCGCUUUUGUCAGGGAAGAAACGCUCUGGGCUAAUACCCCGGGGUAAUGACGGUACCUGAAGAAUAAGCACCGGCUAACUACGUGCCAGCCGCCGCGGUAA
rnacentral:rRNA from 1 species